rnacentral:tRNA from 1 species
GCCCAGAUAGCUCAGUUGGUAGAGCAGUGGACUGAAAAUCCGCGUGUCGGUGGUUCGAAUCCGCCUCUGGGCA